UACGUAGGCAGCGAGCGUUGUUCGGAGUUACUGGGCGUAAAGGGUGUGUAGGCGGUUGUUUAAGUUUGGUGUGAAAUCUCCCAGCUCAACUGGGAGGGUGCGCCGAAUACUGAAUGACUUGGAGUGCGGGAGAGGAGAGUGGAAUUCCUGGUGUAGCGGUGAAAUGCGUAGAUAUCAGGAGGAACACCGGUGGUGUAGACGGCUCUCUGGACCGUAACUGACGCUGAGACACGAAAGCGUGGGUAGCAAACAGG
rnacentral:rRNA from 1 species